CUCAGGAUGAACGCUAGCGGCAGGCUUAAUACAUGCAAGUCAAGGGGUAGCAAUACAACCGGCGCACGGGUGAGUAACGCGUACACAACAUACCAUAUACUGGAGUAUAGCUUUGGGAAACUGAAGGUAAUCCUCCAUAACAUUGCGAGAGGGCAUCUGAUUGCAAUUAAAGUUCCGACGGUAUAUGAUUGGUGUGCGUUUGAUUAGCUAGUUGGUAGGGUAACGGCCUACCAAGGCGACGAUCAAUAGCUGGCGUGAGAGCGCGACCAGCCACACCGGAACUGAGACACGGUCCAGACUCCUACGGGAGGCAGCAGUAGGGAAUAUUGGACAAUGGGCGAAAGCCUGAUCCAGCCAUGCCGCGUGAUAGAUGAAGGCCCUCUGGGUUGUAAAUAUCUUUUAUCUGGGAAGAAACUCCUCUAUUCUUAGAGGCCUGACGGUACCAGAGGAAUAAGCACCGGCUAACUCCGUG
rnacentral:rRNA from 1 species